CCUCUUACACUCCUGUUGAACAAGAGUUCUAACUUGAGCUUCAGAAAAAUCUCGUUGGAGCCAUCUCCGAUUAGGACCUUUGUGCAGGUCGCACCUUCGGGAGGCCUGCUUUGCCAUCCUCCAGCAUCCUGAUGCCAGACGCAUUCUUGCAUCAACAGAUUGACGCUAGAAGAAAGGCCUUUUGACUUAUUUGGAGGAGCACAGAUCGAGAGCAGUAAGAUAAUAUACCACUAAAAAGAGUUUCAUCCUGACACACCAACGCCAUCACCUCUCGGUUGCUAGAGAGCCAAGCCAAUAGCUAGAUGCAACCAUCGGUGAUGGAGACUCCUCCUCCAGCCUAGUCAGUGUUGGUCAUGAUAGACCAAUUCAACUUGCUCUUCUAGCACGUUCAAACUUUGACAGCCACCGUCCAGACGAUCCAAACUGUUCUUGGGCCUCCGCCGACGAUGUCGUAGCCUAAUUAGGCUACCCCCACACCCCCUUCAGUGGUGCCAUCACCAAAUCUAGCUUCAUAACCACCACCACCACCAGAAUAGCCAUGGGUAUCUCUGCAGAGCUCUGAAAGGAGGCAGACCUGCUAGAGCUGCUUUAAAACUCAAGAAUCAAGAAGGCGGCGAUCUCCGAGUCCCCAAUCAAGGCAUGAUUCAACCUUUAGUCAGUGAUCUCCCCAACAUUUUGAGGCCUUCACCGUCUGAGAUCUUGCUCUCGAGAGGCAGCUUCGGGAGAUUGAUGAGUGGAUCGAUGCGAUCCAUAAUACCCCCUCAGCACUCUAUGAUGGGUUCAACAAUGACCUGCCUUUUGCUCUGAGGAUUAUGCAGGAGUCAUUCCUUCGGUAUUUGAAGGCUCCACAGUUUGAGAUUUACUAUGGGAC
rnacentral:lncRNA from 1 species